UACGUAGGGUGCAAGCGUUGUCCGGAAUUAUUGGGCGUAAAGAGCUCGUAGGCGGUUUGUCGCGUCUGCUGUGAAAACUCGGGGCUCAACUCCGAGCUUGCAGUGGGUACGGGCAGACUAGAGUGCGGUAGGGGAGAGUGGAAUUCCUGGUGUAGCGGUGGAAUGCGCAGAUAUCAGGAGGAACACCGGUGGCGAAGGCGGGUCUCUGGGCCGUAACUGACGCUGAGGAGCGAAAGCAUGGGGAGCGAACAGG
rnacentral:rRNA from 1 species